rnacentral:rRNA from 1 species
AUGACCAAUAUGUACAACAUGCCUUUUGCUCCGUUCAUUGGAAUCAACCUUCAUGGGCAGUCUUUCAUGUUGGGCUGCACGUUUGUGAGGCAAGAAAUGGAGACUAGCUUUGAUUGGGUUUUUGGAGCUUUCCUAGAGGCUAUGAAUGAAAGGGCACCGGAUAACAUAACUACUGAUCAGGAUGUGGCAAUGAAAGAGUCCAUAAAGAACAUAUUUCCCACAAGUGUGCACCGAUAUUGUCGGUGGCACAUCAUGAAAAAAGCUCAAGAGAAAGUUGGAUGGUUGCUAGGCCGGAACCCGGGAUUGUCUGAAGAUUUCAACCUUUGCGUUGAUUUCAGUUUCACACCAGAUGAGUUUGAACAGAAUUGGGCUGUGUUGAUGAUGAAAUAUGAGGCAAUUACACACACCCAUUUUGAGAAGCUAUAUGAAUAUAGGAACACUUGGGUGCCAUGUUACUUCAAGCAUAGAUUUUUCUCGUUCUUGCAGUCUACACAACGAAGUGAGGGGUUCAAUGCAGUCUUGAAGCGGUAUGUCAACCCUCACAAGUCAAUUUUGAACUUUGUGAAGCAGUACCACAAAAUACAGACACACAUCCUCGUCAAGGAAGGGUGCAAUGACUACAGGACAGAACAUCUGGAUCUUGACAUGUGGUCACAAUUCCCAAUAGAGAAGCAGGCAUACAAGACAUAUACUAGAGAUCUUUACUGCAAGUUCCGUGAUGAGUUUUCGAUGAUUGGACGCUACAAUGCAUUCCAAAUUUGUGUGGAAACGUUUGAGCUGAAACCAAAUAUGGAAUGGGUUGUGAAGUAUGGUUCCAGGAACUACUUGGUGUUGGCAAAAAUACCCGAGGGACAAUUUUCAUGUGAGUGUACCAAAAUGGAGAGGGAUGGCAUCCUUUGUUGCCACAUACUGAAAGUGUUCACACAUAUUGGGCUUGAUGUCAUCCCGGAGUAG